GCACAGAUUUGUACGCAUGCGCAGAGAGAGACCCGUUAACUGUCAAAUUGAUCAAAUUGUCAUCGAGUUGUUUCACUGGCUUAACCGUGUCGAAUCAGAUUCAAAGUCCACCGGAGGAAAUGUUACCUACACGAUUCUCUCUUUGACUUUUUGGGAUCGUCUUUUCCAACAGGAAGUAAAUAUUAAACACAGGGUGUAACUUGCGUUUGGGUUCAGCUUGCUCGCACAGGGUGUCCGGACCACUGCGGUGCCAAGUUGGAUUUGACAGUACCAUUGCUAACGUUAACAGCAAGACAAGAGAGGGAACGGAUUUUUAGACCGACUACCAGGUUAACCGAACCAGAAAGUUCGGUCCGGAUGGUGUUGUCUGUACAAAUUCAGGUGGUUGACAGUCGGACGGGCACUGUCGCCAUGGGCAACCGGGGGAUGGAGGAGCUGAUCCCCUUGGUGAAUAGGCUCCAGGACGCCUUCAGCACCAUUGGCCAGAGCUGCAACCUAGACCUGCCGCAGAUAGCGGUCGUUGGCGGUCAGAGCGCAGGCAAGAGCUCUGUCCUGGAGAACUUUGUGGGCAGGGACUUCCUCCCCCGGGGUUCUGGCAUUGUCACCCGCAGACCCUUGGUCCUCCAGCUCAUCUCUGCCAGUACAGAGUAUGCAGAGUUUCUCCACUGUAAGGGGAAGAUGUUUUCAGACUUUCAGGAAGUUCGCCAGGAGAUCGAAGCAGAGACAGUGAGACUCACUGGAACCAAUAAGGGCGUCUCUCCUGUCCCCAUCAGCCUACGAGUUUAUUCCCCUCACGUGUUGAACCUGACCCUGGUGGAUCUGCCUGGCAUUACCAAAGUGCCUGUAGGAGACCAGCCGGCUGAUAUAGAGUACCAGGUGAGGGACAUGAUCAUGCAGUUUAUCUGUAAAGACAACUGUCUGGUCUUGGCUGUGACUCCAGCUAACAUGGACCUGGCCAACUCUGACGCUCUCAAACUGGCCAAGGAUGUGGACCCUCAGGGCCUGCGGACCAUAGGGGUGAUCACUAAGUUGGAUCUGAUGGACGAGGGAACGGAUGCCCGGCACAUACUGGAGAACAGGUUACUGCCACUACGCAGAGGUUAUAUCGGGGUGGUGAAUCGUAGUCAGAAGGACAUUGAUGGGAGAAAGGACAUUAAGGCAGCUCUGGCUGCAGAGAGGAAGUUCUUCCUGUCUCACCCUGCAUACAGACACAUGGCUGACAGCAUGGGUACCCCCUACCUACAGAGAGUCCUGAACCAGCAACUGACCAAUCACAUCCGAGACUGUCUGCCAGUGUUCCGCAGUUGUCUCCAGAGCCAGCUCCUAGCGCUGGAUAAAGAGGCUGAGGAGUACAAACACUACAGAGUUGACGACCCAGCACGCAAGACAAAGGCCCUACUACUGCUGAUGCAACAGUUUGCAGCCGACUUUGAGAAGCGUAUUGAGGGCUCAGGAGACCAGGUGGACACUAUAGAACUGUCAGGAGGAGCCAAGAUCAACCGCAUAUUCCACGAACGCUUCCCCUUCGAACUGGUCAAGAUGGAAUUUGAUGAGAGGGAACUGCGGCGGGAGAUCAGCUAUGCCAUCAAGAACAUCCACGGCAUCAGGACAGGUUUGUUUACUCCAGACCAGGCGUUUGAGGCCAUAGUGAGGAGACAGAUAAUCAAGCUGAAGGGUCCCUGUAUUAAAUGUGUGGACAUGGUCAUCCAGGAGCUGAUCAACACUGUACGCCAAUGCACCACCAAGUUGGGCUCCUAUCCAAGACUGCGAGAGGAGACGGAGAGAAUCGUUACCACAAACAUCCGGGACAGAGAGAGUCUUGCUAAAGAACAGGUCCUGCUGCUAAUCGAUGUACAGGUGGCCUACAUCAACACUAACCAUGAGGACUUCAUUGGCUUCGCUAAUGCGCAGCAGAGGAGCGCUCAGACUAAUAAGAAGAGCAUUGCAGGAAACCAGGGUGUGCAACCAGUCUCCAGUCUAAUAGUCAUCCGUAAGGGCUGGCUGACCGUCAACAACAUCAGUAUCAUCAAGGGCGGUGCGAAGGAGUACUGGUUCGUCCUGACCGCUGAGAGCCUGUCCUGGUUCAAGGAUGAUGAGGAGAAAGAGAAGAAGUACAUGUUACCAUUGGACAACCUGAAGCUGAGAGACGUGGAGAAGAGCUUCAUGUCCAGUAAACAUGCCUACGCCAUCUUCAACACCGAACAGAGAACCUCAGGAAAGUCCCUGAUCUGAAGGCAGGGGGAGAGAGAGUGUGGAAGGGUAAAUGGAGAAAGAUGCUAAAAUUCCUCAAGAGGAGAGAAGAGGAGAAAAACUCCCUGGACACAGCGGAACUGAGCGAGGAAAAAGGAGAGUAAAAAGUGGGAUUUGGGAACUGGUUACAAUCCAGCCAUUGUAACGCAUUGAGUGAGUUAGUGAGUGGAAGUGAGAGAGCCCCCUUCUGGCCAUCUGACCAGCAAUAUCUCCAGCAGCAUCUGGUCUACCAUCAAGGGAUCAACCAGCCUAGCAUACAGACACAAAAAGAUUGGACACACCUACUCAUUCAAGGGUUUUUCUUUAUUUUUCUCUAUAGCAAGUCUCUUCCUCUUAUUGGUGUUCUUUAGUAGUGGUUUGUUUGCAGCAAUUUGACCAUGAAGGCCUGAUGCACGCAGUCUCUCCUCAACAGCUGACGUUGAUGUGUCUGUUACUUGAACUCUGUGAGGCAUUUAUUUUGGCUGCAAUUUCUGAGGCUGGUAACUGUAAUGACCUUAUCCUCUGCAGCAGAGGUGACUCUGGGUCUUCCUUUCCUGCGGUGGUCCUCAUGAAAGCCAGUUUCGUCAUAGCGCUUGAUGAUUUUUAUGACUGUACUUUUGACUGUAUGACUGUACUUUUCCGCAUGUCGCAAAGUAAUGAUGGACUGUUGUUUAUCGUUGCUUAUUCAAUCUGUUCUUACCAUACUUUAGACUUGGUCUUUUACCAAAUAGGGAUAUCUUCUGUAUACCCCCCCUACCUUGUCACAACACAACUGAUUGGUUCAAAAGCAUUAAGAAGGAAAGAAAUUCCACAAAUUAACUUAACAAGGCACACCUGUUAAUUGAAAUGCAUUCCAGGUGACUACCUCAUGAAGCUGGUUGAGACAAUGCCAAGAGUGUGCAAAGCUGUCAUCAAUGCAAAGGGUGGCUACUUUGAAGAAUCUCAAAUAUAAAAUAUAUUUAGAAUUGUUUAACACUUUUUUGGUUACUACGUGAUUUAAUGUGUUAUUUCAUAGUUUUGAUGUCUUCACUAUAAUUCUACAGUGUAGAAAAUAGUAAAAAUAAAGAAAAGCUCUUGAGUAGGUGAGUCCAAAAUGUGACUGGUACUGUAUAUAAGAACUAUAGGAACCUGGAGCGGGGUAUAGGUGUUUUUAAGCUGCUGGCUGGGAAAUGUAGUUUGAUGACGUAGCUGACGAAUGUAAUGUUAUUGUAGGAAUGUGUAUAAGGACUACAGGUUCCUGGAGCUGGCGUGUAGCUCUCAGGAGGAGCAAGACAGCUGGAAGGCUUCUCUGCUGAGGGCCGGAGUCUAUCCUGAGAAAGUCACUGUGGAUGGGGAGUGUAGUGGUUCUAGUGAUAGUUUCUC